rnacentral:rRNA from 1 species
CCUACGGGUGGCAGCAGUGAGGAAUAUUGGUCAAUGGGCGUAAGCCUGAACCAGCCAAGUCGCGUGAGGGAUGAAGGUUCUAUGGAUCGUAAACCUCUUUUAUAAGGGAAUAAAGUGUGGGACGUGUCCUAUUUUGUAUGUACCUUAUGAAUAAGGAUCGGCUAACUCCGUGCCAGCAGCCGCGAUAAUACGGAGGAUCCGAGCGUUAUCCGGAUUUAUUGGGUUUAAAGGGUGCGUAGGCGGCCUUUUAAGGCAGCGGUGAAAGUCUGUGGCUCAACCAUAGAAUUGCCGUUGCAACUGGGGGGCUUGAGUAUGUUUGAGGCAGGCGGAAUGCGUGGUGUAGCGGUGACCUGCUUAGAUAUCACGCAGAACCCCGAUUGCGACGGCAGCCUGCCAAGCCAUGACUGACGCUGAUGCACGAAAGCGUGGGGAUCAAACAGGAUUAGAUACCCGUGUAGUC